AGGUAAUUUAAUAAAAUAUAAACCAAUUUAUUUUGGUGGCAUUUAUCUUAUUAGAGGAACUUGUUAAUUAAUCGAUAAUCCACGAUAAAUUUAACUUUAAUUAAAAAUUUAUAUACCUCCAUCUAAAGAUUUAAUUUUAAAAUUCACUCUAAAUUAAAACCAAAAAGUUAGGUCAAGGUGUAAUCAAUAUUAUAGGUUUAAAAUGAGUUACCUAUAAAAUUAAUUUUAGAAUUAAAAAAAGAAAAUUUACUUAUAAAUAAGGAUUUAAAAGUAAUAUAAAAAUAAUAAUUAUAAAUGAUUCAGAAAACAAAUGUAU
rnacentral:rRNA from 1 species